rnacentral:rRNA from 1 species
AGAAUCAACGCUGGCGGCGUGCCUCAGACAUGCAAGUCGAACGCGAAAGUCCCCUUCGGGGGACAAGUAGAGUGGCGCACGGGUGAGUAACACGUAGGUAAUCUACCUUUGGAUGGGGAAUAACAACCGGAAACGGUUGCUAAUACCGCAUAAUGCAGCGGCACCUAAUGGUGACAGUUGUUAAAGCGGGGGAUCGAAAGACCUCGCGUCUGAAGAGGAGCCUGCGGCGGAUUAGCUAGUUGGAAGGUAAUGGCUUACCAAGGCUACGAUCC